CUCUGAAGGACGACUGUUACCUCCGGUGCUGGGCCCACCAGAGCUACACCUCCCCGAGGACGACUGCUUCUCCGCCGGUGCUGAGCCCACCGGAGGACCAACCGCCCUGCUACUGCUGGUGUCGCUGCUACGUUGGCUAGCUCAAGGCAGCUGCUUGCCUCCCGUCUGCGCCUGGACAACGGUCGUCGUGAGGACUUUGUGUGUUCUAUUG